GGAAUGCUUGAAGUUUAAGGAAUAGAGCUUUUAGAAUUCCAGCACCUACGUUACCCCACAGUGUGUCCUGGAGAGUGAUUGUUGUGUGCUGAAGUGACAGAAGGUGCAUCAGCAUUGGCUACAUGUUUUUUAAUAAGUUAUAUAUCGUCCACACUCACCAACUGUAAAGCUGCAACACAGGGCAGAAGAACAGAAUGAUGGAGAGAGGAUGUUCACCACAGGGAAGAAACUAAGAUGCGGAAUUCUCUCAACUGAGUCCACUUGUAACCCACCCUCAGGACAGAAGGCAGAAAAUUUACAGAAGUGGAUGCAUGGGAAACUUGUUCAAAAAUGCACAGUUUUUAUAUGUGGGAUGCCUACCACAGCGUGGCUUGCCAAGCACUUCCAUGUCUGCACCCGGGAUCCGAACUGGCGAACCCCAGGCUGUCAAAGCAGAACGGGCGAACUUAACCGCUGCACCAUCAGGCCGUCCCAAGAUAGGUGCUAUUUUUAUCCCCAUUUGUCUGAUAAGGGGACUGAGUGUCAGAGAUGCAAUAACUUGCUCAAAGUCACAGCUAGUGCUAGAUCCAGAAUAUACAUGAGGUAGUCUGACUCCAGAGGGAAAAAUUAUCACCAUUAAACUAACAAUAGUGCAAGGAAAAAUAGUAUUCCUGCCCUCAUCUAACUUCCAUCCUACUUAAGGAAAUAAACAAGCAAAUAUGUAAUUACAAUUAGCAAUAUACUUUAUGAAAAAAAUGAUAAAGA
rnacentral:lncRNA from 1 species